GAUGAAGAACGUAGUGAAAUGCGAUAAGUAAUGCGAAUUGCAGAAUUCCGUGAGUCAUCGAAUCUUUGAACGCACAUUGCGCCCUCUGGUAUUCCGAAGGGCAUGCCUGUCUGAGCGUCAUUGUCAACCCUCAAGCUCAGCUUGCUGUUGGGUCCCCGUCGUUGCUUUAACGGCGGACCCGAAAGGUAAUGGCAGAGUCCGUGAGACCCUAGACGCAGCGAGCUUCUAGCACGCGUCUGGACGUUUUUCGGGCUCGGUCUUAACUAGAUGAUAACUUCCGAUUGACCUCAGAUCAGGUAGGGAUACCCGCUGAACUUAAGCAUAUCAAUAAGCGGAGGA
rnacentral:misc_RNA from 1 species